AUUCUAAUGAGGAAUAGGGGAGAGGCCCAGGAACUAGAACAGCAACUGCAGGUGACUGUGAAGACUGAACUAAAUUAGUGACCAGAAGGAGGUGUGGUACUUUAAAUGCAGCCUUCACAAAAUUUAGAUUUCAUCGGAGAUCUGGAUGUCAAGAAGACACCCAUGGCAAUUUGUAAAGAAUGUUCCAGAAUAUAAUAAAUGAUCUAUCUCAAGCAAAAAUGAAUCUUUUGGACUUUUAUAGAAAUGAGAAGAAACUGUCUAGUAAUGGAAGUUGGAAAGAAAUACCUUGAGCUCUGAAAACAUGAAGACAUUGAGAAGCAAAUGAGAAAACAACACAGACUAAGCCACUCAGCUCACUACCAUGAGAUAAUGCUCUUCUGGGCACCUACAUAGCGUCAACACCCACGUCGAUAACCUCAGAGGAAAACCCAUAGGCUGGUCUGCUUCUUCAGGACAUUUCCACAGGAAGGCCAUACCACAGACAAGCUAUAUUGAAUGUAUUCUGGUGUUUGAUUGUUUGUUGGUUGUUGUUGUUGUUGUUGUUGUUGUUGUUGUAGUUGUUGUUGUUCAAGAAAAGUUUUCUCUGUGCAUAGUUCUGGAUGCCCUGGAGUAUACUCUGUAGACCUAGCUGGCCUCGAACUUACAGUUUUCCACCUGCCUUUGCCUUCUAACUGUUGAUAUUAAAGGCCUGGGCCACUGCC